rnacentral:lncRNA from 1 species
GGAGCAAACAUCAGAGAGUUCUCUUGUCUCCACAGAAGUAAGGGUUGGCAUGGAGCAAACAUCAGAGAGUUCUCUUGUCUCCUCAGAAGUAAGGGUUGGCAUGGAGGAAACAUCAGAGAGUUCUCUUGUCUCCACAGAAGACUCAAAUGUCCUGCAUGACACCAAACCCCCACACUAUUGCUGAUGCCAAGGAGUGCUUGCUGACAGGAGUCUCAUAUGGCUAUUCCAUGAGAGGUUCUACCAGCACCUGACCAAUACAGAUGCAGAUACUCACAGGCAACCAUCAAACUGAACCCGGGG